AUAUUCAGCUUGUAAUCGUCUGUUUUGUCUACUUUCCGACAAAUAAAUGACCAGAAAGCUCUUAAACGGUAUAGUUCGUAGACUGGGCAUAAAUGUCUCCAUGUCAAAAGAAAAGAAAAGAUAUGAUACUAGAUUUUAUGAUUAGACCAGAUCGAUUCUUAUCAUCAAAAAUUAAUAAACUUGAACACUUGUUAAACGCUUCUUAGUUUUUACUUUUUUUCUUUAGUUACAACCGGGCAAAAGUCUAUCAUUACCCUACUUAACUUUUAAAACCUAAAGUUUAUUUAAGUUAGUUUUAUAACGUUGGAUGGCAUCUUGUACUGAGAAGCAAAGUGAUAUUGAAAUUGUACUCUUCACUCUUGAAACACCAUGGCAUCCAGACACGCUAUUCCAUUCAUGAGAAAAGUAUACCCAUUUGUAUCACCACUACUCAGGACAUGAUCGAUACAAAUUUGGUCAGAGUGAAAGAACUAGAAACAGCACUGAAAAACAAACAGCCCAGUGAGCACAAGAAAAAACUCCAAGCUGAAUUGGCCGAAAUAAGGGAAGAGAUAUUGAAAAAA
rnacentral:misc_RNA from 1 species